UGGGGGGGCCGCAGAGGGGAGCAGAAAAUGACAGAAAAACAUAUGUUUUUGCCUUUCUUUUGAGUUUAUUUGGAAUCAUAUCCAUCUGGGUGAAGCAGCCAGCUCCCCUGCAAAUUAAUGGUCUGAUGAUUCAGGGAAAUGUCGAGCUGGGUUCUUAGCUGUAAAAUGCAUGUAAAUGAAGAAAGGAGUGAGUGGAGGUGUAUCUAGUUCGGUAGCAUGCACAUUUUUCAUAGAUUAAUUUAGAAAAGAUCACCUCCUAAUAAAAUGUCAGCACUACAGCAGUUUUAUUAAAACACGUCUACAAAUAGAGGAUCAAAUUCGCUCGGACUCAGCUGCAAAGCGCCGAGGAACCUGAGCAGGGGCAUCAUUUAUUAGCAGAGGGGACUUAUUAGAGAGGGGGAAACUGCAGCCGGCUGGAGCUCGGUCCCGCAGAUGGAAGUUGUGCCUGAGGAGCUCGGGACGGCCCCUCCGCAGUGCCCCUGCCCCUUUCCCCUGCUGCAGGGAGGGAAUGGCUCUCACCUCUUCCAGCGGGGUAAAAAAAGGACUUUGGGCUGCACUUGAAGAACGCUCCUCUGUCUCUACAACAGCAGCUAGCAGCGUCCGCAGAUGCUCAACAAAUGAUCGCAACUUCUGGGGACUCAUCUCUCUCCAGAGUCUGUCCGUGUCUUGUCAUGUGAGCAACGCCCUGCCCAGCUCCACCAGACCAACUCCGACGAGCCUAGCACUGAGGGAGGGGGCCGGGGAACUCGCGGAGCCGCGCCGAACCCGGCGGGUCAGCCCCUAUCGGCUGCGCAGGGCCCGCGGAACGGCGGCAGCUCGGAACCCUCCUCUCCGGGCCCGGCCCAGCCGCUCGUAAGCGCCCGCGGUCCCUGCGCGGAGCGGCUCUCGGGCCGCGUGCCCCCGGGACAGCUCCCGGCGGCGGAGACGUGCCCUGAACUUGGCGGAGCCCGCUCCCCUCCGCCUGCUCAGGUCCCUCCACGGCUGCGGAGCUCGGGGUACCGCUGCCCUGCUCCGUGAGUGGGAACCGACAGCAAUGCCGGAGAAGCGGAGUGCUUAAAUUGAUCCGCUCUUCACUUGCUAAAUUAUGCCAGCCAAAGGUCAGCCGGACUCAGCGGUCUUCUUCAUUUUCCUAAUUUAAAUUAAAAAAAAAAAAAAAAAAAAAAAAAAGAAAAAACAAGACAUGGGGAGGGUGAUGGGGGAGGGCGGGGGAGAGAAAGCAGCAACUUAUUCAAAUUCAGCCUCAUCUGAAUAAUCGUGAAUUGGAUCCAGUCAGAGCUGCAAACUGUACAUUAAAAAUAAAUGUCCAGGAGGCAUUUACUGUAGUAGAUUU
rnacentral:lncRNA from 1 species